GAGUAAACACUUAGAAAAAAAUUGACAAACUACUUUCAUCUUUUUUUUUCAAUUACUUUCCCCAAACAGUCGAUAUCUUUUUCUCUUCUCUGGCUUUCUCACCCAAACCUUGAAACUCUAUCUCUAUGUUUUAUUUAUUCUUUCCUCUUCUUCUUAGUUUUUGAUUUCAACUGCUGAUGUUGGAAAAGUGACAACGAUUCGCUUUUCUUCUUCUCUUAGUUUGCAAUUUCUUGGUUUAGCAGCUGCGUCGGGUCUGAAAUUUCCGGUGGAAUAUGGGAUCGCGUUGGAACAGCAAUUGAAGAAAGAAGAAGAUGAACUCAGGAAGAAUAAGAGAGAAACGUCAAUCUCUUCCAGAGACCGGAACCCUGACUCCGGCAUUCCCGGCGAUUUGAAAUCCGACUCCGACAGCUCACCAGACCGCGACUCUAGGUACGGAAACUAUCCACCUGAAGCAACUUGUGGAUAUAGUUGCAAGCAUAAGAAAACAUUGGAGGAGGAUCCUUCUGCUUUUGCAUUUGAUGAAGUUUAUGAUGACAUGAAACAUAGAGACAUUGUUCCUAAACUGCAAGAUCGUCAAGACCUCAAGGAUCUGGUAAAGGGGUUUCAGACACUCCCGUGACGCUCCAUAUUGCGAAUGCAGAGCUUGCUCCAACUCACCCAAUCUGUCUAGGUCUGGCACUAAACUGAUGAGUUAUGUGCAGGCUCCAAAAACUUCACAAGAUAAAAUGGCUACUGAGCUUCAAGACAAAUAGAAAAUACUUGCAAAUCAGAUGAUCAAAAUGCAAAGUUUUGUCUAUUGUUUUUGAUUCGUUGUUGAUCCUUACCUGUAACAUUGUUUUAAGACUGCUAUGUUUUUAUAAAUCAAUUUGUAGUUUAUAAAUUAUGGAAUAUAUAUUUUACCAAUUAAAAGGAGGAUUAACAAAGGAGUGA